rnacentral:rRNA from 1 species
UGGGGAAUUUUGGACAAUGGGCGCAAGCCUGAUCCAGCCAUGCCGCGUGCGGGAAGAAGGCCUUCGGGUUGUAAACCGCUUUUGUCAGGGAAGAAAUCUUCUGAGUUAAUACCUCGGGAGGAUGACGGUACCUGAAGAAUAAGCACCGGCUAACUACGUGCCAGCAGCCGCGGUAAUACGUAGGGUGCAAGCGUUAAUCGGAAUUACUGGGCGUAAAGCGUGCGCAGGCGGUUUUGUAAGACAGAGGUGAAAUCCCCGGGCUCAACCUGGGAACUGCCUUUGUGACUGCAAGGCUUGAGUGCGGCAGAGGGGGAUGGAAUUCCGCGUGUAGCAGUGAAAUGCGUAGAUAUGCGGAGGAACACCGAUGGCGAAGGCAAUCCCCUGGGCCUGCACUGACGCUCAUGCACGAAAGCGUGGGGAGCAAACAGGAUUAGAUACCCUGGUAGUCCACGCCCUAAACGAUGUCAACUGGUUGUUGGGGAAGGUUCCUUCUCAGUAACGUAGCUAACGCGUGAAGUUGACCGCCUGGGGAGUACGGCCGCAAGGUUGAAACUUAAAUGAAUUGACGGGGUC